AGUGAACGCUGGCGGUAGGCCUAACACAUGCAAGUCGAACGGCAGCACAGUAAGAGCUUGCUCUUACGGGUGGCGAGUGGCGGACGGGUGAGGAAUACAUCGGAAUCUACUUUUUCGUGGGGGAUAACGUAGGGAAACUUACGCUAAUACCGCAUACGACCUACGGGUGAAAGAAGGGGAUCUUCGGACCUUGCGCGAUUGAAUGAGCCGAUGUCGGAUUAGCUAGUUGGCGGGGUAAAGGCCCACCAAGGCGACGAUCCGUAGCUGGUCUGAGAGGAUGAUCAGCCACACUGGAACUGAGACACGGUCCAGACUCCUACGGGAGGCAGCAGUGGGGAAUGUUGGACAAUGGGCGCAAGCCUGAUCCAGCCAUACCGCGUGGGUGAAGAAGGCCUUCGGGUUGUAAAGCCCUUUUGUUGGGAAAGAAAAGCAGCAGGUUAAUACCCCGCUGUUCUGACGGUACCCAAAGAAUAAGCACCGGCUAACUUCGUG
rnacentral:rRNA from 1 species